GCCUCCUCUGGUCUUUGCUUUCAUACCCACUUAGAACACAUUCCAGGGUUUGACAGGAGAGCAAAAUAGCAGAGAGAACCCUUGGGUCUGAGAAGCUGGCAGGGAAGAACAGAAGAGUCACCCCUCUUGAUGGCGGAUAACUAUUGAUGAACUUGAGCGGCUAUUGAAGCAUUGAUAACGGCUCACGGCAAAGUCAUAUGAUAUCCAUCGCAGAAGUCAUAGGCAAGAGCACCAAUGACUGUCAGAGCAGGGAGGAAAAGGGGGGCGAUGGUGUAAAGAACAUGGUGCUCACUCACGGCUGCGCAUAGUGGGUUUACGUCAGGUACGUAUCUGGUUUAAGGUCUGAGAAAAAGCUAGGGAUGGGAAAUGACACACGAGUUAUUUUCUUCCCAAGAGGUUCAAUGAUGGCCGAGCUUGUCUUUCACAUAUUU
rnacentral:lncRNA from 1 species